AGUGGUUCGAUGUGAUUCAGAUACACAUGAGCAUCUCCCAGUGUGUGCACGAAAUCUCCUGGUUUGAGGUUAGUCACGUGUGCUAUCAUGUAGGUGAG